GACAGAGGGUGCAAACGUUGCUCGGAAUCACUGGGCGUAAAGGGCGUGUAGGCGGGAAGGAAAGUCGGGCGUGAAAAUCCCGUGGGCUCAACCCCAGGAACUGCACUCGAAACUUCUUUUCUUGAGUGCCGGAGAGGAAAGCGGAAUUCCUGGUGUAGAGGUGAAAUUCGUAGAUAUCAGGAGGAACACCAGUGGCGAAGGCGGCUUUCUGGACGGUAACUG
rnacentral:rRNA from 1 species